UUGAUACUUGAUUUUCCCGCCACUCUACCUGAAAUCGACUAGUGCUUGCGACUUGAUGGCAGUCCUUGACUUGAAUUCCAAAGACAAGGCUCUGAGUUCUACUGCCCACUUGGAGAAUUUUUCUGUUGUAUCUCGAUUGUGGAGAAUUUCUCCUAAGGGGAAGUCUGUGAUGACAGAGAUAUUACGCUCCUGGAAGUAGUGUCGUAGCUUUUGUGAUGUGAGUAGUGUUGCGGAUAGCAACUUCUGAACCGGCGGGUACCUAGUUUUGGAGUCAGAAAACACCUCACUAACAAAAUAGACGGGCCUCUGUACUCUAUAUACAUGGCCUGGUUCUGGUCUUUUUACCACAAUCGCCGUGCUGAUGACAUUAGUAAUCACAGCGAUAUAGAGCAGCAAGUCUUCAUCGGGAGUAGACGCCGUGAGGACCGGUGGCUUUGAUAGGAAGUCCUUCAACUAUUGAGGGCUUGAUCUACUUUCUCGGUCAACUAGAAUUUAUCUUGCCGCUUGAGUAGUUUGAAGAAGGGUAGUCCCCAUUCCCCAAGCCUUGAGAUGAAUACCCCUCAGUGCAACAGAUAGCAAUUGUGUCAUCAAGAUGUGGUAGUCAUAAGCCUUUAGAUUUAUGAAUUUCUUCUCUUUAAAAGUUAUUAUUGCCUGUAUAUUCGAGGAGUAUCCUGAUGGUACUUUGAUACUAUUUAAGCAUUCAAACAUAUUUUUCUUCUCUUUCUUACUGAGAGUGUAACUGGCAGGAUGCAAGUAAUGUCCAUCAUCUCUCUUUUUUGGAUGUAGGCCAUCUCAUUGUUUCAUACGUUUCAGGUCCCGACGUGCUUCAAUUGUAUCCUUUGUCUUCCAUAUGUACCCAGGAAGCCAAGCACAUUCAUGCAAAGAUUUUUCAUCAGGUGCAUCACAUCGAUUGCAUUACAGACCUCAAGGACUUCCCAAUAAGAUAGCUUCCAAAAUAUAGACUUCUUCUUACACAUAGGUGCAUGUCCAUCCUCAUCGUUCGGAAUAGGUUGUCUACCAGAACCCUUGUCAAAGACUAC
rnacentral:lncRNA from 1 species